rnacentral:misc_RNA from 1 species
UCGAGUUUUAUACUCCCAAACCCUUUGUGAACCUUACCUAUCGUUGCUUCGGCGGGUACGCCCCGGCGCCAUCGUGCGUCCGGAUCCAUGGCGCCCGCCGGGGGACAGAAACUCUUGAUUUGUCAGUGGUAUUCUCUCUGAGUGGCACAAGCAAAAAUAAAUCA